CGGGGUGUGGCGCAGCUCGGUAGCGCGCGCGCAUGGGGUGCGCGAGGCCCCCGGUUCGAAUCCGGGCACCCCGACCA
rnacentral:tRNA from 3 species